GACGAACGCUGGCGGCGUGCUUAACACAUGCAAGUCGAACGGAAAGGCCCUGCUUGCCGGGUACUCGAGUGGCGAACGGGUGAGUAACACGUGGGUGAUCUGCCCUGCACUUCGGGAUAAGCCUGGGAAACUGGGUCUAAUACCGGAUAGGAGCCAUUUUUAGUUUGAUGGUUGGAAAGUUUUUUCGGUGUAGGAUGAGAUCGCGGCCUAUCAGCUUGUUGGUGGGGUAAUGGCCUACCAAGGCGGCGACGGGUAGCCGGCCUGAGAGGGUGGACGGCCACAUUGGGACUGAGAUACGGCCCAGACUCCUACGGGAGGCAGCAGUGGGGAAUAUUGCACAAUGGGCGCAAGCCUGAUGCAGCGACGCCGCGUGGGGGAGGACGGCCUUCGGGUUGUAAACUCCUUUCGCUAGGGACGAAGCUUUUUGUGACGGUACCUAGAUAAGAAGCACCGGCUAACUACGUG
rnacentral:rRNA from 1 species